rnacentral:lncRNA from 1 species
UAUUAGGUGAUAAUUGGAUCAUUAGUCUAAAUAAACAUUUCACUUUAAUCUUUUAAUUGGAUAAUCACUAUAUCUUACACGAACUAAACAUUGCUCGGUCACCAAUUCAAGUACAAACUUUACAAAUUAAAAAUAUAAGCAUAUAUCAAAUAAUCAGUGAAUUCAGAUCAACGCUCUUACUUUUUAUAAAUAGUCAACUUUGAAUCGUUUUUAGUCAGAAUAAAAAUGUCUCUUGCAUUGCCAUUACCUUUGCUAACUGAACACACCAGACCUUUGCUAACACCAUACCUAGACACCAUACAGACACACGCUUUUCAGACACAAGACCGAAACGCUUUGCAGG